rnacentral:rRNA from 1 species
AGUGAACGCUGGCGGCAGGCCUAACACAUGCAAGUCGAACGGCAACACAGUGAGAGCUUGCUCCUACGGGUGGCGAGUGGCGGACGAGUGAGGAGUACAUAAGCAUCUUAUUUUUCGUGGAUGAUAUCGUAGGGCCACUUACGCUAAUACAGCAUAUGACCUACGGCUGAGAGCAAGGGAUCUUCACACCUUGCCCGAUUCUAUGAGACGACGGCGCAUUAGCUAGUUGGCGGGGUAAAGGCCCACCAAGGCGACGAUCCGUAGCCGGUCUGAGAGGAUGAUCAGCCACACUGGAACUGAGACACGGUCCAGACUCCUACGGGAGGCAGCAGUGGGGAAUAUUGGACAAUGGGCGCAAGCCUGAUCCAGCCAUGCCGCGUGGGUGAAGAAGGCCUUCGGGUCGUAAAGCCCUUUUGUUGGGAAAGAACAGCAGCAGGUUAAUACCCCGCUGUUCUGACGGUACCCAAAGAAUAAGCACCGGCUAACUUCGUG